AGGGACUUAGGAUACAAAUAGACCAAGGGCCUUCAAAGCCCUAAGCGGGAGUGAAAACCUUCCAGCCCCUG
rnacentral:tRNA from 1 species